ensembl:lncRNA
CUGAAAGUCACUAAACUUUACUUUUUGUGGAAAGUCACUAAACAAACAGUAACAAUUACAAACCCUGGGGAUUAAGGAGGGAAAGGCUGCUGACUUCAGAAUCAGCCGGAACUUCAGCAGCUCGAACUCUGUACCAGACAGCGUGGCCCAUCGGCUGGAACAACACUGCUACUGGAGCACUUUCUUGAAAGCCUCCACUCGCAUGUCCCAGGACACAGGUGAUCAGCGGGUUACAGGGGCGGCUGCAUGGCGCUGGGGUGGCAAGCGGCCGAGAGGAGCUACCCCAUGUCCAAGGGCAGGAGCGGAGGCUGUGAGGAGCUACUCCAUGUCCAAAGUCAGGAGCAGAGGCCAGGAGGAGAUACCCCACGUCCAAAGUCAGGAGCAGAGGCCAGGAGGAGAUACCCCACGUCCAAGGUAAGAGAAACCCCAGUCGGUGCUGAGAGAGCAUCAGAUGGCAGACAGACUGCAACCACAACCACAGAAAACUAGCCAAUCUGAUCACAUGGACGAUAGCCUUGUCUAACUCAAUGAAACUAACAUAGGCUGUGUAGGGCCACCCAAGACGGACGAGUGGAGAGGUCUGACAGAAUGUGGUCCACUGGAGAAGGGAAUGGCAAACCACUUCAGUAUUCCUGGCUUGAGAACCCCAUGAACAGUAUGAAAAGGCAAAAAGAUAGGACACUGAAAGAUAAAGUCCCCAGGUCAGUAGGUACCCAAUAUGCUACUGGAGAGCAGUGGAGAAAUAACUCUAGAAAGAAUGAAUGGGGUGGAGCCAAAGCAAAAA